rnacentral:rRNA from 1 species
UACGAAGGGUGCAAGCGUUACUCGGAAUUACUGGGCGUAAAGCGUGCGUAGGUGGUUUGUUAAGUCUGAUGUGAAAGCCCUGGGCUCAACCUGGGAAUUGCACUGGAUACUGGCAGGCUGGAGUGCGGUAGAGGAUGGCGGAAUUCCCGGUGUAGCAGUGAAAUGCGUAGAGAUCGGGAGGAACAUCCGUGGCGAAGGCGGCCAUCUGGACCAGCACUGACACUGAGGCACGAAAGCGUGGGGAGCAAACAGG